UCACGUGAGAUAGCGAUGAAGAUUUUUUGUUGUUAUUCGAUGUUUUAUACACGUUUUUCAUCCGUUCCUUUUUCUAUUUAUUUAUAUAAGUAUUAAACUGUUAUUGAUGGUAUGUUUUUCUUUCGUGUUAGUGGAAAGUUCUGGCUCAUGCAUACUGUAUGCAGGCUAUUUGAUAGUUUAUAAGGGGUCAAAAAAGGACUUUUUGGAAACAAAAUAUCCAACAUUACCUGGAACCGUACAUGAAAGAACAGAAAUAUCUAGAAAUGUUAUACAGAAAGCAACAUCCAACGUUGAAAAACAUUGGAAGAUACAGCGAGAAGCUUGUACCCGUUGGUAUAUUUCGAACAAAAUUAAAAAAAAUUUAAAUGGUACAAGAAGGCUUUUAGAUUGCGGAUUCCCUUCCAUAAAAAUAAAGGACUUAUUCUGGUGUGUCCACUUCUCAUCCUUCGACGUAACGUGCUGAUGAGUCAUUUAUGUCCUCUGCCUAACCUUAGCUUGUCUUUGAACUCGAGGACGUCCCGUAACUUGAGCCGGAAGGUAGAGAAGGUGAAGAUAGAAGAACAUGAACGAGUUUUCUUUGUAAGGUAUAUGUACUUAAACUGGGCAGGAUUCAUGAUGUCAGUAUAACGAGGUCUUUAAAAGCAAGGAUACAAAAUUUGUACUUUUGAGUAAUCAAUGUAAUCACUUCGGUUUACGAAAAGGAGUGCGAGAUAGCAAAUUGUUUUUAUUUUAUGCUUUUGUUUACCAUUGAAUUAUUUCUUCUAUCGUUUAGUUAAUCUGUAUUUUUAAUUUACAUUUAAACUCUAACUCGCAUUAUAGUAAACCACAUCAAUUUCUAAAAUUAUAUAAAUUAUCAAACUGCAGCCGAUUUUCCGUAGGGGUGACGUUCAGAUAUUAAUGUUGGGAAAGUGUGCACGUGAUUAUCACAUGAAUUCUGAUUUCUUGAUGUGAGUAGUUUAGUUAAUUAUCACAGAUUAGCUGGUCUUGGAACACAAGAACUUGCGUUGAACUGAACUAGAGCCGGAAGCUAAAGCCGAAUAUAGAAGAAAAGGGAAUGAUUUAGCCUUGAAAGCUUAGCUGGUCUUUGGACUUAACUUCCAGUAACCUGAAUCGGAGCAGAAGGUAGAGAAGCUGAAGAUCUGAGAACACUAAGUACAUAUACCUUAAAGAAAAAGCGUAAACUGGUCAGGAUUCGUGGUGUCCGUAUAAUGAGGUCCUUAAAAAAAAAAGUGGCGACAGAAAGCUUGAAGAGUGCCUCCACCCCAGUUCCAAAGAAAUGAAAUUCUUUUGACGUGUCCACAUUUUAUCCUUCGACUUAACGAGUUGUUUGUGUCAUCUGCCCAACCUAGAUGGUCUUCAAACUCAAGUACUCGCUUGGGAAAUUCUGGCCAUGGGCUCAUUCAUAAACUGUAUGCAAGCUAUUUGAUAGCUUACAAGGGGUCAAACAAGGACUUUUGAAAACAAUACUUAACAUCACCUGCAACCGUAGAUAAACGAACAGACCUAUCUAUAAAUGUUAUACAGAAGACAAUAUCCAACGUUGGAAAACACCGGAAGCUACAGCGACAAGCUUACUCUCAUUACUCUCUUUUGGACAAAAUAAAUUCUGUCGACACCAGAGGAAAUUGUCAUCGUCCUCUGCCGUUGCAGAAAAUUUGAAUGGCGGAAGAAGGCUUUGAGAUUGCAACCCCCUCCAUCAAAAUAAAGGACUUAUUCUGGUGUGGACACUUCUCAUCCUU
rnacentral:lncRNA from 1 species